AUGCGUGCAGAUGUGUGAUUAAAAAAUGAGCAGUUCAUGUCGUAUGACAGUUUGGGUAUGUACGCCAUGUAGCAUGGGCUUGCGUGUGUUUGGGUUUUGAUUAAGUGGUAACUAUGAUUGAGCAAAGCCCACAACUCGAUGGUUUCGAAAAAAAACGCCGCUCGAAGUAACCACUGUCUCCGUCCAAACACUACUAGCAAUAUUAUAGCUCUCCUUUGACCAAGACUUUAUAUUUUGAAUUUUUUUUAUUAAUAUACAUUUAUAUGACAUUUUUUUCCUUUAUUUAAUAAGGGAAACAUUUUGUUUCUUUCUACUGCAUUGAAAUAAUACCACGGCCCCUUCAUCCACCAAAGUAAUAUAAAAGAGUCAAGUGAAGAAAAAACCCAAUGAUACAACAUAAUCUAGCUACUCCAUGUUUGAACAUAAAUUUCUUGGCAAAUGGGAACUAUUUGUAGCUGCCGACCACCCACCAUC
rnacentral:lncRNA from 1 species